GGACAUUUUACCGAGAGACACAGAAGAAACCACAGCAACAAGCAAGUAGUGGGCACUGUGAUGGAUACCUGUGUUCCAGCAACUUUAGAGGCUGAGGAAGAUACCUUAAGUUGUGUGGCUAUUCAGACUAAACAGUCCUGUCAGCUUGACAAGCGCUGGAAUCAUGAUGGAGAUGCUUCUGGGCACAUCUGUGGGAGAUCACCUUGACUGGGUUAACUGAGGUGGAAAGAUCCUCUUAAAUAUAUCAUGUGACCAGCUGCUUCAAACUCCUCAGCCACUCCCUUUCCGCCAACACAGACAGCAAACUCAAACCGUGAGCUAACUUCCUUAACCUUAAGUGGUUUUUGUUGGACAUUUUUCUGAAGCAACCCGAAACGCUAUCAAUUCAGAAAACUGGUACCAGAAGUCAGACCACUGCUGUGGUGCUGGCUGUAUCCCAGACUGGCUUGCUCACUACCACGCACAGGCUGGAAACUGAACUCACCGCUUUCCUUCCGUCCCUCAAGCUGGGGUUAGAGACAAGCCAACUGUGUCCCUUAAGCCAUUGUGUGAAACUGUGAAACCUGGAUUGCCUUGAAGACCCCAAAUGUUGAGAUGCUGGAGCUGAGGGAUACCUGCCGAGGAGAGCUGCUAACAGGGAGUGGAACCAGAACAAGAGAGAGAAGUGUGCUGCAGUCAACAAAGCUGAAGGAGUUGGGCAUCUGAAGAGCGCUUUGACAUCACACAUGAAGAUGCGGACUUUGGAGUUUUCCCAGUUGGUUCCAGGUCUUGCUUUGGUCCAGCGUUUCCUCACUAUGCUCCCUUUCCUCCCUUUUGGAAUGGUAACGUGUAUCCUGUGCCAUUAUAUGUAGGAAAUGUGUGAUCUGCUUUUUCAUUUUGAUUUCACAGGGGCAACAGUUAAGAGAUGCCAUGAGUCUUGGAAGAGACUUUGGACUUUUAAACACAUUUGAGAGGGCUGGAGAGAUGGCUCAGUAGUUAAGAGCAUUGCCUGCUCUUCCAAAGGUCCUGAGUUCAAUU